rnacentral:sRNA from 1 species
UUCCUGCUAAGUGCGUCUACAUGGGCUAU